AUUGAACGCUGGCGGCAUGCCUUACACAUGCAAGUCGAACGGCAGCACGGGUGCUUGCACCUGGUGGCGAGUGGCGAACGGGUGAGUAAUACAUCGGAACGUACCUUAUCGUGGGGGAUAACGCAGCGAAAGUUGCGCUAAUACCGCAUACGCCCUGAGGGGGAAAGCGGGGGACCGUAAGGCCUCGCGCGAUUAGAGCGGCCGAUGUCUGAUUAGCUUGUUGGUGAGGUAAAAGCUCACCAAGGCGAUGAUCAGUAGCUGGUCUGAGAGGACGAUCAGCCACACUGGGACUGAGACACGGCCCAGACUCCGACGGGAGGCAGCAGUAGGGAAUUUUGGACAAUGGGGGCAACCCUGAUCCAGCAAUGCCGCGUGAGUGAAGAAGGCCUUCGGGUUGUAAAGCUCUUUUGUCAGGGAAGAAACAGCAGCUCUAACACAGUCUGCGAAUGACGGUACCUGAAGAAUAAGCACCGGCUAACUACGUGCCAGCCGCCGCGGUAA
rnacentral:rRNA from 1 species